GCACCUAUCGUCUAGUUCGGUUAGGACACUUGCCUUUCACGCAAGCAACACGGGUUCGAAUCCCGUUGGGUGUACCA
rnacentral:tRNA from 1 species